CCAUAACUUUAAUGCUGCCCAGGUCCCAAACCAAACUUGCAGUCGGAAGAUACCUCUCCUUUACUGGAUGUCAACCCUGAUACAAAUGGUGGAGAGGAAAAUGACCUGGGGGCCCCAGACCACCAUGUUGGAAAGCGAGCUCAUCUAGGCCUAUCAUUCUCAGAUGCAGAAAUUGAUUAUCAGAGAGCACGGAGUUUGAGAGAAGCCAAUACCCUACUGGUAUGGCGGAACUCACUGCAUUAACUGAACCGCUCGUCUCUCCCAGUUGUUGCAGACAGUGCAGGGUUAUGGUGAUUGGUGAAUUCUACUUCCGAUUCCAUUUCCAUAGCCAAGUCUUUGUCUGGAUGAAGACAUUAAUCCCAUUGUUAAAUGUUGUAUAGAACUGCCAGCUUGUCGGCUAUGCUA